UAUUAAUAUUGAUAUAAUAAAUGAUUUAUCUUUAUCCAUACAAAAAGACAAUCAAAUUAUAUUGGGAAAUUUCAACUUAAUGAGGGGUGUUAAGUGAACAAAAAAUAUUAGGUUCUUUAAUCAUUUCAAAAAAAUGCCAAAACUUUUGACAGUACCCAAAAUAUUAGAUUCUCCUCUCUCUCUAUCUCUCUCCACUCUCUUGGUUCAUCUUUCUCCCGCCCAAAACCCAUUGAGAACCAUCGAACCCAAUCAGAGAAGCUCGUCUCGCCACCAUCGAACCACCGUUUGGCCUCCGUUGACCUUCGUUGAAGCCUCCCUUUCUCCAUUUCUCCAUCGAUCUGCCAUGUACAAAGAUCACUUUCCCGGUCGAGUCACAUAUAGGGGUAAUGAUUAUUUUAAAGCAAUCAAGGACAAGUUUGAGGAGCUUGAGUUGAUAGAAAGGGUGAAUGAAUCCCCUUUCAAACAAUUUUUUGUGGCUGAGAAGUCCGACUUCUUUGCAUCUCCCAUACCUUAAUUAAUGUUGCGCAAGAUCCAAUGCAACAAAGGGGAUGAGUUGCAUUUCCAUUUGGGAUCUAUAGCCUAUAGAUUUGGUAGAGGCAAGUUUGCUCUGGUUACGGGGUUGAACUUUAGUGCUGGGCCAUCUGAGACUGAUUUGAAGAAUCACCUGACUAGUGACCACUUAAUCAAGGGGUACUUUAAUGAUGAAGAAAUGGUGAAGAUAAUGCAUUUUGAGGCUGCUUUAAAAAACUGCACUAUUGUUGAAGAUGCCUACAAGUUGGGCCUAUGUUUCUUUGUUGAAGGGGUUUUACUUGCACGAGAGGACAAGUUAAAUGUCUGGAUAGAUUCGCCGAAGAUGGUGGAUUACACUGAGUACUUCUUUACUUACCCAUGGGGGAAGGUGUCUUUUAACAAGCUUUUGGAUGCAUGUCAAAAAGACAUGCAUCAUCAGAAGAUGAACUAUGAGAAGAAGAAGGAAGUUAAGGGGAAACAAAAAGAAGCAAAAUAUAGUUUGUAUGUGUUAUACCCAAAAAUUAGAGAUCAAUAACGUGGCAAUAAAGGUGACAAGUGGCAUUGCAUGAUCAGUAAAAGACACAUUAAUAGUCAAUAAAUACAUUGACUCCUCAAAGUUGUGAUAAAGGGACCCGGUAGACUGUCGAAGAAUUUGGACUGCUUGAAAGAUGUCAUAACCAAGCCAAGUGCACCUUGGUCCGAGGAAAGCUAAGGAAAAUGCAUCCUAGGAGAGCUAAGGAGAGUGCAUCCUAGGAGGCUAAGGAGAAUGCAUCCUAGGAGGCUAAGGAGAAUGCAUCCUAGGAGAGCUAAGGAGAGUGCAUCCUAGGAGAGCUAAGGAGAGUGCAUCCGAGGAGAACUCAAGAGAGUGGUCCUAGGAGACCCCAAGAGAGUGGUCCUAGGAGACCCCAUGCAUCCGAGGAGAACUCAAGAAAGUGGUCCUAGGAGACCCCAAGAGAGUGGUCCUAGGAGACCCCAAGGAUUUGGUCCGAGGAGAAACAUGGCAUGCUAGAGGAGAGUGCCAUGUUAGAGGAGAGAGGUUCAUGUCCUAUCACCAUGCAUGUCCUACCACCAUGCACAUCCGACCAACAAAUGUUUGUCCUACCACCAUGCACAUGUUCGACCAGCACUUGCAUGGGUGGUCAGUAGGAGGUGGAUCAACUAGCUAGAGGAGACUAAGUCAAGAUUCCCAGAAACAACUUCAACAAGAUAUGCGGGAAUCUCUCAUUCUUCACACAAAUGGGGGGUUUGUUACAUUUUGAAUUUUGAAUGUUUCUUUGUAAUUUAAAUGUAAUAAAUAUAAUAAAAUAUCCCGAUUCUAAGGGAUAUCAGUUGUAUGAACCUAAGCCUAUAAAUAGAGGGCUUAUGGGAUUAGAAAGGGUUUCUUCUGCUUCUUCUUUCUAGAGAGAGAAAUUUGGGUCUGAGUAUUCUAGAGAGAGAAAGUGCUGAUAUUUGAGAGAAUUCUUGUAAUUUUGCAAUCUGUACUGAAGAAACUCAGUUGGCUCAGUCCAUCUGAUCUUGAGUACUGAUCUAUAAAUCACAACUCUAAGUGGAUUAGGCUAUUACCGACAAUCGGGGCUGAACCACUAUAAAAA